rnacentral:tRNA from 1 species
GCCGAGGUGGCGGAAUUGGUAGACGCGCAACGUUGAGGUCGUUGUGGGCGAUUUAGCCCGUGGAGGUUCAAGUCCUCUCCUCGGCACCA